rnacentral:rRNA from 1 species
CAGGUGGAGCCUGCGGUUUAAUCGGACUCAACGCCGGGAAGCUCACCGGAUAAGACAGCGGAAUGAUAGCCGGGCUGAAGACUCUGCUUGACUAGCUGAGAGGAGGUGCAUGGCCGUCGUCAGUUCGUACUGUGAAGCAUCCUGUUAAGUCAGGCAACGAGCGAGACCCACGCCAACAGUUGCCAGCAUGUCCUCCGGGAUGGUGGGGACACUGUUGGGACCGCCUCUGCUAAAGAGGAGGAAGGAAUGGGGCAACGGUAGGUCAGCAUGCCCCGAAUUAUCUGGGCUACACGCGGGCUACAAUGGGUGGGACAAUGGGUAUCGACACCGAAAGGUGAAGGCAAUCUCCUAAACCCAUCCGUAGUUCGGAUUGUGGGCUGCAACUCGCCCACAUGAAGCUGGAAUCUGUAGUAAUCGUGUCUCAAAAUGGCACGGUGAAUAUGUCCCUGCUCCUU